GGGUGUGUGGCCCAGUCCGGACAGGGCAUCUGGCUUCGAACCAGAAGAUCGGGGGUUCGAAUCCCCCCACGCCCGC
rnacentral:tRNA from 1 species